rnacentral:rRNA from 1 species
AUUGAACGCUGGCGGCAGGCCUAACACAUGCAAGUCGAACGAGUGGCGGACGGGUGAGUAAUGUCUGGGAAACUGCCCGAUAGAGGGGGAUAACUACUGGAAACGGUAGCUAAUACCGCAUACCAUCGGAUGUCCCCAGAUGGGAUUAGCUAGUAGGUGAGGUAACGGCUCACCUAGGCGACGAUCCCUAGCUGGUCUGAGAGGAUGAUCAGCCAAACUGGAACGGAGACACGGCCCAGACUCCUACGGGAGGCAGCAGUGGGGAAUAUUGCACAAUGGGCGCAAGCCUGAUGCAGCCAUGCCGCGUGUAUGAAGAAGGCCUUAGGGUUGUAAAGUACUUUCAGUGGGGAGGCGUUACCGACAGAAGAAGCACCGGCUAACUCCGUGCCAGCAGCCGCGGUAAUUC